GAUGAACGCUGGCGGUUUUGCCUAACACAUGCAAGUCGAGCGAACCCUUCGGGGUGAGCGGCGGACGGGUGAGUAACGCGUGGGUAACCUGCCUUAUACACACGGAUAACGUACCGAAAGGUACGCUAAUACGAGAUGACAUAUUUUUAUCGCAUGGUCGAUACAUCAAAGCUCCGGCGGUACAGGAUGGACCCGCGUCUGAUUAGCUAGUUGGUGAGGUAAUGGCUCACCAAGGCGACGAUCAGUAGCCGACCUGAGAGGGUGAUCGGCCACAUUGGAACUGAGACACGGUCCAGACUCCUACGGGAGGCAGCAGUGGGGAAUAUUGCACAAUGGGCGAAAGCCUGAUGCAGCAACGCCGCGUGAGCGAUGAAGGCCUUCGGGUCGUAAAGCUCUGUCCUCAAGGAAGAUAAUGACGGUACUUGAGGAGGAAGCCCCGGCUAACUAC
rnacentral:rRNA from 1 species